UACGUAGGGUGCGAGCGUUAAUCGGAAUUACUGGGCGUAAAGCGUGCGUAGGCGGUUCGUUAAGUCAGUUGUGAAAGCCCCGGGCUCAACCUGGGAAUUGCGGUUGAAACUGGCGAGCUAGAGUAUGGCAGAGGGGGGUAGAAUUCCACGUGUAGCAGUGAAAUGCGUAGAGAUGUGGAGGAAUACCGAUGGCGAAGGCAGCCCCCUGGGCCAACACUGACGCUCAUGCACGAAAGCGUGGGGAGCAAACAGG
rnacentral:rRNA from 1 species